AAAACACCAAAGAGAUAAGAAACCAUAAAGAAACAAGGAUGGUUAAGAAUGGAGACGAUUAACAAGGAUUACAAACAACCUUGAACAAUUUGGCUAAACUUUCUAAGAUGCACAAACUGUGAUGUAGCUUCUUUAAAUGAGGUAUGGCAGAUUAAAGAGUGCUUCUCUACUUUACACAACAUGUUAAUUUUGAGUAUAGAAAUAUGCAGUAGCUGUAGGGGCUAACUGUAAGAUUAUAUACAUUAUUAUUAAUAGUUAUUUGGUAUUUAUAUUUUGAGGUUUUUCAUCGGUCUUUGGAAAUAAGAUAUGAUUUUGAUAUUUAUUGUAUUUAAUGGAAGGCAAGGGAGGCAAGGAGUUUUGGAAAUAUUUAAACAAUUUCAUAUCUACUUUGUUUAAUUUAAUUCUCAUAUUAUAAUUGAUAUUACACUAUUUCUCUCUUUUCACCUUCAUCUUGGCUGUCAAGGUAGAGACACUUCUCUGUUUUUUUUUUUUUUGACAAUUACAAUGUAGAGAAAUACUUGAAUGUUGACGUCUGCACACUCAAAGUUGUUACACUUAUCUGCAUUACUCCUCCUUAUUUUCCCAGGCUUUCAUUUGUC